rnacentral:rRNA from 1 species
GCGCAAGCCUGAUGCAGCCAUGCCGCGUGUGUGAAGAAGGCCUUCGGGUUGUAAAGCACUUUCAGUCGUGAGGAAGGUAGUGUAGUUAAUAGCUGCAUUAUUUGACGUUAGCGACAGAAGAAGCACCGGCUAACUCCGUGCCAGCAGCCGCGGUAAUACGGAGGGUGCGAGCGUUAAUCGGAAUUACUGGGCGUAAAGCGCAUGCAGGUGGUUUGUUAAGUCAGAUGUGAAAGCCCGGGGCUCAACCUCGGAAUAGCAUUUGAAACUGGCAGACUAGAGUACUGUAGAGGGGGGUAGAAUUUCAGGUGUAGCGGUGAAAUGCGUAGAGAUCUGAAGGAAUACCGGUGGCGAAGGCGGCCCCCUGGACAGAUACUGACACUCAGAUGCGAAAGCGUGGGGAGCAAACAGGAUUAGAUACCCUGGUAGUCCACGCCGUAAACGAUGUCUACUUGGAGGUUGUGGCCUUGAGCCGUGGCUUUCGGAGCUAACGCGUUAAGUAGACCGCCUG